GACGAACGCUGGCGGCGUGCCUAAUACAUGCAAGUAGAACGCUGAAGGAGGAGCUUGCUCUUCUGAAUGAGUUGCGAACGGGUGAGUAACGCGUAGGUAACCUGCCUGGUAACGGGGGAUAACUAUUGGAAACGAUAGCUAAUACCGCAUAAGAGUAGAUGUUGCAUGACAUUUGCUUAAAAGGUGCAAUUGCACCCACUACCAGAUGGACCUGCGUUGUAUUAGCUAGUUGGUGGGGUAACGGCUCACCAAGGCGACGAUACAUAGCCGACCUGAGAGGGUGAUCGGCCACACUGGGACUGAGACACGGCCCAGACUCCUACGGGAGGCAGCAGUAGGGAAUCUUCGGCAAUGGACGGAAGUCUGACCGAGCAACGCCGCGUGAGUGAAGAAGGUUUUCGGAUCGUAAAGCUCUGUUGUAAGAGAAGAACGAGUGUGAGAGUGGAAAGUUCACACUGUGACGGUAUCUUA
rnacentral:rRNA from 1 species